AUUGAACGCUGGCGGCAGGCCUAACACAUGCAAGUCGAACGAGUGGCGGACGGGUGAGUAAUGUCUGGGAAACUGCCCGAUGGAGGGGGAUAACUACUGGAAACGGUAGCUAAUACCGCAUACCAUCGGAUGUGCCCAGAUGGGAUUAGCUUGUAGGUGAGGUAACGGCUCACCUAGGCGACGAGCCCUAGCUGGUCUGAGAGGAUGAACCGCCACACGGGAACUGAGACAAGUGCAGGACGCCUACGUGAGGGAGAGGGGGGGAAUAUUGCAACAUGUGAGCAAGCCGGAUGAAUCCAUGCCGCGUGUAGGAAGAAGGCCGUAUGGUUGUAAAGUACCUUCAGCGGGGAGGCGUUACCCGCAGAAGAAUCACCGGAUAACUCCGUGCCAGCAGACGCGGGAAUAC
rnacentral:rRNA from 1 species